AUUCAUACCAUGUUAUAAACAUUUACAGGUUGUGUAACCGAUUCAUAAAUCGGGUCAGUUUGUACGUUGGAACAGCCAUAAGUUAAUAUGAUAGAAGAGCUUUUAGUUUAAGGGAUAGGUUAUUGUUAUUGUCUAAUAAUAUGAACUCUGUGAACUGUUGUAAUGUUUUUUUGAUGUAUGUUUUUUAUGUAUAUUAAUUUAUUAUGUUAUAAACUUCCAGGCUGCGCUACGCUUCGUAAAAUAGUAACCUAAAGCAUUGAUGUUAAAUUGUUUAAUAUCCCUGCGUAAUUAAUGCUCCCUGUGUCAGUCUUGCAAAUGGCUUUCCUAGAAACCAUGUUUUUUCGUUUUUGCGUGUGGUCAAGUUAACAGGCUCUUGGAGUUUUCACGUCUGUGUUACCGGCAUGUCUUUUAAUUCAAGUCUGGAAGUUCGAGUCUAAGUUGUUUGCGUUCAUCAUGAUUGUAUGAUAUUCUACGUUAGGCUAUUUCCAAUGUUUAUACGAUGAUAUCCUCGUCCGAUGUCAUGAAGCAUUAAAGAGACAAUGAAUAAAGAUAUGUAUAUGGUGUA